AGGGUAUCCUAAAAACAUUUCUCAUUUUCCAUCCUUUCUAUAUGAGAGUUGAUGUCGCCGCCUAUCAUUUACAACAUCCAUCUUCAGCUCUAGUUGUUGAUUCCUUUCGAUUGAAGCUGUAUCUGAGCUCUUAUAUCCACUUGCAAAAGUGAAAUCUUCGAUGGUUGGAAUAGCAAAACUCAUGUUUAAUCACCUUGAAGGUCCUAGUAGCCUGGAUCUGGUUGUGUACCCCAAGUGGCAGCUAUCUUGUCAGUUCUCUUCUGAUCUUGUAGCAGACUUAAAGCCAUCGGCCAGCUGCUGAUUUAAUUAUGUCAAUUUGCUUUGGUGACAAACCUCCCUCAAUGGCCAUUCUUUCAAUAUUGUCAUCUAAAUCUCCCUUAUCCAAGGAUUCUUUGUCCUUGUUUGCCAAGUCCAUCUAGUGAUUAGCCUGUAUAGCCAAUGUGUGAAGGAAAGUUCAAGUUCUUGAAGAGUUCAAAUUAGAAGGAUAAGUUACAGAAAAUUGAGGCAUAGGUGCUUCAGAUAAUACACAUGCUCAGCAGGAGCCCAGGAUAUCCAGCUAUUUGUGAGCUCCAGAUUGAUUUGGGGCUGUCCGAGUCUAUUUUAUAUAUUUUGGUAUAAGUUAGAGUAUGGCGUGGGUUUGUCCCGAUCUUAACUAAGUGUCUAUGUUUAUUUUAGAGGCUUUGUAGACCAAUGUAAAGUUAAGCAUGAUAGUGUCUUAUCUUUUAGAUGUUAUGGCCCCAACGGCCAAGUCUGGUAUCUAUAGUUUUGGGCUUGUCAUUUAUUUCUCA